rnacentral:rRNA from 1 species
UGGGGAAUAUUGCACAAUGGGCGCAAGCCUGAUGCAGCCAUGCCGCGUGUGUGAAGAAGGCCUUCGGGUUGUAAAGCACUUUCAGCGGGGAGGAAGGCGUUAAGGUUAAUAACCUUGGCGAUUGACGUUACCCGCAGAAGAAGCACCGGCUAACUCCGUGCCAGCAGCCGCGGUAAUACGGAGGGUGCAAGCGUUAAUCGGAAUUACUGGGCGUAAAGCGCACGCAGGCGGUCUGUCAAGUCGGAUGUGAAAUCCCCGGGCUCAACCUGGGAACUGCAUUCGAAACUGGCAGGCUAGAGUCUUGUAGAGGGUGGUAGAAUUCCAGGUGUAGCGGUGAAAUGCGUAGAGAUCUGGAGGAAUACCGGUGGCGAAGGCGGCCCCCUGGACAAAGACUGACGCUCAGGUGCGAAAGCGUGGGGAGCAAACAGG